rnacentral:tRNA from 2 species
GGGGCGGUUGUCUAGUCUGGUCUAAGAUGUUUGCUUUGGGAGCAAGUGAUCGGGAGUUCAAAUCUCCCUCGCCCCA